rnacentral:tRNA from 2 species
GCGGAUUACGCAUAAACGGUGGUGCGCCGGUCUUCCAAACCGGAACAGAGCCGGUUCGAUCCCGGCAAUCCGCA